AGUCGUAACAAGGUUUCCGUAGGUGAACCUGCGGAAGGAUCAUUAGCAAAUCGAAAUCAUGUGCGCCGCCGCAGGCGGUGCACAUCUGUCCCGGGGAGAAGGUCUGUAUGGCUUUCUCUCUGUGAUUCCGGGGAGAAGGUCUGUUCGACUCUCUCUCUGUGAUUCCGGGGAGAAGGUCUGACUUUCUCCCUGUGUCAAGUGCUCCACGGAAAUGUAAAUCACCAACACCAAAAUCAAACUAAAAAACAACUUUUAACAAUGGAUCUCUGGGCUCCU
rnacentral:misc_RNA from 1 species